AGCGAACGCUGGCGGCAGGCCUAACACAUGCAAGUCGAACGAACCUUUCGGGGUUAGUGGCGGCCGGGGGAGUAACACGUGGGGAGGUGCACUUAGGUUCGGAAUACCUCAGGGAAAGUUGUGCUAAUACCGAAUGGGCCCUUCGGGGGAAAGAUUUAUUGCCUUUAGAGGGGCCCGCGUCUGAUUAGCUAGUUGGUUGAGGUAAUGGCUCACCAAGGCCACGAUCAGUAGCUGGGCGGAGAGGCUGAUCCGCCACAUUGGGACUGAGACACGGCCCAAACUCCUACGCGAGGCAGCAGUGGGUAAUCUUGCGCAAUGGGCGAAAGCCUGACGCAGCCAUGCCGCGUGAAUGAUGAAGGUCGUAGGAUUGUAAAAUUCUUUCACCGGGGACGAUAAUGACGGUACCCGGAGAAGAAGCCCCGGCUAACUACGUG
rnacentral:rRNA from 1 species